GGUGAACGCUGGCGGUAGGCCUAACACAUGCAAGUCGAACGGCAGCACAGUAAGAGCUUGCUCUUACGGGUGGCGAGUGGCGGACGGGUGAGGAAUACAUCGGAAUCUACUUUUUCGUGGGGGAUAACGUAGGGAAACUUACGCUAAUACCGCAUACGACCUACGGGUGAAAGCAGGGGAUCUUCGGACCUUGCGCGAUUGAAUGAGCCGAUGUCGGAUUAGCUAGUUGGCGGGGUAAAGGCCCACCAAGGCGACGAUCCGUAGCUGGUCUGAGAGGAUGAUCAGCCACACUGGAACUGAGACACGGUCCAGACUCCUACGGGAGGCAGCAGUGGGGAAUAUUGGACAAUGGGCGCAAGCCUGAUCCAGCCAUACCGCGUGGGUGAAGAGGGCCUUCGGGUUGUAAAGCCCUUUUGUUGGGAAAGAAAAGCAGCAGGUUAAUACCCCGCUGUUCUGACGGUACCCAAAGAAUAAGCACCGGCUAACUUCGUG
rnacentral:rRNA from 1 species